rnacentral:siRNA from 1 species
CGUUUACUGUUCAUCUUACAACA